AGUGUUUACCUUCACUGGGAAGACAAACAUAAAGGAAACAAAGCUACGCAAAUAGAUAAGGGCAWCUUGAGGGAAGAGUUCGGAGAUGGAUUCAUGAAUGGAGGAUAUAUUAUUAAUUAAUAUUUAAUGAAAAUCAAUGGAUUAACGACAGAGUUUCGUUGAUAUGAAAUAAAAUUAAACUUGCACAUUGAAUGA